rnacentral:sRNA from 1 species
GGGUGGUUGCAGUGACGAAAUUCACACCUUAGCAAGGUUAUAAGUUCGCGGUGAGGAUGAUCGGAAUACAGUUCGACGUGUUGGAAUAUCUAUCAACUUGGAGUUUCAACCUCGAUCCAGGACUUUGAGUGAGUGGCCUUCAAUCCGGAAAAUUGGGCUUCCUUCACAGAAAUGCACUUGCGAUGUUGCUACCGUUCCCAAUCGCCACAUUUAUUUCUCUUGCCUGAGACGAGAGAGCUGCAUUGAAAAUUGCA